CCUACGGGAGGCAGCAGUGGGGAAUAUUGCACAAUGGGCGCAAGCCUGAUGCAGCGACGCCGCGUGAGGGAUGACGGCCUUCGGGUUGUAAACCUCUUUCAGUAGGGAAGAAGCGAAAGUGACGGUACCUGCAGAAGAAGCGCCGGCUAACUACGUGCCAGCAGCCGCGGUAAUACGUAGGGCGCAAGCGUUAUCCGGAAUUAUUGGGCGUAAAGAGCUCGUAGGCGGUUUGUCGCGUCUGCCGUGAAAGUCCGGGGCUCAACUCCGGAUCUGCGGUGGGUACGGGCAGACUAGGGUGAUGUAGGGGAGACUGGAAUUCCUGGUGUAGCGGUGAAAUGCGCAGAUAUCAGGAGGAACACCGAUGGCGAAGGCAGGUCUCUGGGCAUUAACUGACGCUGAGGAGCGAAAGCAUGGGGAGCGAACAGGAUUAGAUACCCUGGUAGUCCAUGCCGUAAACGUUGGGCACUAGGUGUGGGGGACAUUCCACGUUUUCCGCGCCGUAGCUAACGCAUUAAGUGCCCCGCCUGGGGAGUACGGCCGCGAGACGUAACUACAANAGAGUAGACGCGNGAGACGUGCCGACGACGACGACGAGGGAGAGG
rnacentral:rRNA from 1 species